GGGCCGGGCCGGUGGCACCGGGGCACCGGGGGCACCGGGACCGGCUCUCUCCGCGCCACGCAGGCGGCGGCGGCUGGCCCCCGGCCAGGUGGGACCCUGCCAGCGCCCGGAUGCCUGAGUAGCUAAAGCUGCCAGUUGAAGAACUGUUGAAUGUAGCCACUCUCUUCUCGUCACCGAGGCGCUGCACAUCAGCUGCACCUGUGCCCCGAGAGACCGGGAUGAGUAAAUCAGCAGCGUCCUGAGGAUUGACCCCUCCGAGAGCUGAGGCUGAGGAGGGCGGGGAUGAAGAGCGCGCCUUGCAGCAUCCAGGCAGAGCCGUGGCUGGAGGAGCUGUAACGGGGCUGUACAAUGGGGAGCCGGGUCCCCGCCUGCCGGCGGGGUGGCGUUUAACUGGGACGGCUGGAGAAGGCUUUGAAAGAGACAUUAAACUUUCUGUUUUCCUCAA